GAUGAACGCUGGCGGCGUGCCUAACACAUGCAAGUCGAACGAGGUAUUUUGAUUGAAGUUUUCGGAUGGAUUUUAAGAUACCGAGUGGCGGACGGGUGAGUAACGCGUGGGUAACCUGCCUCAUACAGGGGGAUAACGGUUAGAAAUGACUGCUAAUACCGCAUAAGCGCACAGUACCGCAUGGUACGGUGUGAAAAACUCCGGUGGUAUGAGAUGGACCCGCGUCUGAUUAGCUGGUUGGUGGGGUAACGGCCUACCAAGGCAACGAUCAGUAGCCGGCCUGAGAGGGCGACCGGCCACAUUGGGACUGAGACACGGCCCAAACUCCUACGGGAGGCAGCAGUGGGGAAUAUUGCACAAUGGGGGAAACCCUGAUGCAGCGACGCCGCGUGUGGGAUGAAGGCUCUAGGGUCGUAAACCACUUUUAUUUCAUCAUGAAGAUAAAAUGAAUAAGGAACUACUAACUACGUGCCAGCAGCCGCCGUAA
rnacentral:rRNA from 1 species